rnacentral:rRNA from 1 species
GACGAACGCUGACGGCGUGCUUAACACAUGCAAGUCGAAGGGAGUGGCGAACGGGUGAGUAACACGUGAGUAACCUGCCCUUUUCUUUGGGAUAAGCCUGGAAAACUGGGUCUAAUACUGGAUGGAUUGGGUUGGGUUCGCGGCUUAUUAGCUUGUGGGUGGGGUGAGGGCGUAGCAAGGCUUUGACGGGUAGCCGGCCUGAGAGGGUGGUCGGUCACACUGGGACUGAGAUACGGCCCAGACUGCUACGGGAGGCAGAAGUGGGGGAGAUUGCACAAUGGACGGAAGUCUGAUGCAGCGACGUCGUGUGGGGGAUGAAGGCCUUCGGGUUGUAAACUCCUUUCGCCCGCGGAAUGGUAGUGGGUAAAGAAGCGCCGGCUAACUACGUGCCAGCAGCCGCGGUAAUUC